rnacentral:ncRNA from 17 species
AACCCCAUGCUGUGACGGGGCAUGACACAGCAACCUCCCUGUUGGACUUGCCGGGCCUCGUGCCCGGCAUUUUUU